rnacentral:rRNA from 1 species
GUAGUCUCGCACAGAUGCAUAUCAAUAAGCGGAGGAAAAGAAACUAACAAGGAUUCCCCUAGUAACGGCGAGUGAAGCGGGAAGAGCUCAAAUUUGAAAUCUUAAAGGGUUUCCCUUUACGAAUUGCUAGUUUAAAGAAGUGUUUUCUGUUGAGGUUUUGGUAAAAGUUCUUUGGAAUAGGACAUCAUAGAGGGUGAGAAUCCCGUAUUUGACCUUUACUUUCAACUUUGUGAUACACUUUCAAAGAGUCGGAUUGUUUGGGAAUGCAGUCCAAAAUGGGUGGUAAAUUUCAUCUAAAGCUAAAUAUUGGCGAGAGACCGAUAGCGAACAAGUACCGUGAGGGAAAGAUGAAAAGAACUUUGAAAAAGAGAGUUAAACAGUACGUGAAAUUGUCAAAAGGGAAGCGUUUGACACCAGUGUUGUUUUUCUGAAAAUCAAUUAAAGAACUGUUUAUGCUAAGCUGUUUAGACUUUAUCAGCUAAUCUGUUUAGUUUUGAGCUUUUCUUUAAUGCACUUUUCAGUUAACAAGUCAACAUCAAGUUCUUUUGCUGUAAAAAAGCUUGAGGAAGGUGGCUUGAGAUUCGUCUUAAGUGUUUAUAGCCUCUUGCCUAUGCAGUCGGAGAGAUUGAGGUCUGCAGCGUAGAUCCUUCGGGGCUAAAUGCAUUUGUGCUAAGUUAUAGCAUUUUAUAGACAACUUGUUGACUAUGAUUUGUCUUGUAGCUUACUCGCUUAUGUUAUUUUACCUACGCUUAGGAUGUUGAUCUGUAGUGCGUGCGC